rnacentral:rRNA from 1 species
AACGAACGCUGGCGGCAUGCCUAACACAUGCAAGUCGAACGGGAUCCUAGCUUGCUAGGUGAGAGUGGCGGACGGGUGAGUAACACGUGGGAAUCUGCCUUUUGGUUCGGGAUAACCGCGGGAAACUGCGGCUAAUACCGAAUGCCCUCGAGAGAGGAAAGAUUUAUCGCCAGAAGAGGAGCCCGCGUCCGAUUAGGUAGUUGGUGGGGUAAAGCCUACCAAGCCGACGAUCGGUAGCUGGUCUGAGAGGAUGAUCAGCCACACUGGGACUGAGAUACGGCCCAGACUCCUACGGGAGGCAGCAGUGGGAAUA